GCGCCCGUAGCUCAGCUGGAUAGAGUACCGGGCUUCGAACCCGUUGGUCGCAGGUUCGAAUCCUGCCGGGCGCGCCA
rnacentral:tRNA from 1 species